CACGUAGGGGACGAGCGUUGUCCGGAAUCAUUGGGCGUAAAGCGCGCGUAGGCGGCCCGGAAAGUCGGAUGUGAAAUCCCGGGGCUCAACCCCGGGCCUGCAUCCGACACUCCCGGGCUGGAGGCAGGUAGGGGAGAUCGGAAUUCCUGGUGUAGCGGUGAAAUGCGCAGAUAUCAGGAGGAACACCGGUGGCGAAGGCGGAUCUCUGGGCCUUGCCUGACGCUGAGGCGCGAAAGCUAGGGGAGCGAACAGG
rnacentral:rRNA from 1 species